rnacentral:rRNA from 1 species
AGAGUUUGAUCCUGGCUCAGGACGAACGCUGGCGGCGUGCCUAAUACAUGCAAGUCGAGCGGACGUUUUAUUGGUGCUUGCACCGAUUUAACGUUAGCGGCGGACGGGUGAGUAACGCGUGGGUGACGUACCCUUUAGACGGGGAUAACUGUUAGAAAUAGCAGAUAAUACCGGAUAAGGUGCACAUUGUCAGAGGAUGUGCAGGAAAGGAUCUUUAGGUCCGCUGAAGGAACGGCCCGCGUACUAUUAGCUAGUUGGUGAGGUAACGGCCCACCAAGGCAACGAUAGUUACCCGGCCUAAGAGGGUGAUCGGGCACAUUGAGACUGAGAUACGGCCCAGACUCCUACGGGAGGCAGCAGCUAAGAAUAUUCCGCAAUGGACGAAAGCCUGAUGGAGCAACGCCGCGUGAGUGAAGAAGGUUUUCGGAUCGUAAAACUCUGUUGUAAGGGAAGAACAAGUACAGUAGUAACUGGCUGUACCUUGACGGUACCUUAUUAGAAAGCCACGGCUAACUACGUGCCAGCAGCCGCGGUAAUACGUAGGUGGCAAGCGUUGUCCGGAUUUAUUGGGCGUAAAGGGUCUGUAGGAGGUUCGUUAAAUUCGAGGUGAAAUCCCGAAGCUCAACUUCGGAACUGCCUUGGAGACUGAUGGACUGGAGUACUGGAGAGGUAAGCGGAAUACCAGGUGUAGCGGUGGAAUGCGUAGAUAUCUGGUAGAACACCAAGAGCGAAGGCAGCUUGCUGGACAGUUACUGACUCUGAAAGACGAAAGCGUGGGGAUCAAACAGGAUUAGAUACCCUGGUAGUCCACGCCGUAAACGGUGUCAACUUGAUGUGGGAGGAUUUAGUCCUUUCCGUAUCGAAGCCAACGCGAUAAGUUGACCGCCUGGGGACUACGGCCGCAAGGCUAAAACUCAAAGGAAUUGACGGGGGCCCGCACAAGCGGUGGAGCAUGUGGCUUAAUUCGAGGCAACGCGAAGAACCUUACCUGGUCUUGAAAUCUAUCAGACAGUCUGUGAAAGCAGAUCUCCCUUCGGGGCUGAUAAACAGGUGCUGCAUGGCUGUCGUCAGCUCGUGCUGUGAAGUGUUCGGUUAAGUCCGGCAACGAGCGCAACCCGUGUUACUAUUUGCCAACAGGUAAAGCUGGGAACUAUAGUGAGACUGCCUGUGUUAAGCAGGAGGAAGGCGCGGAUGACGUCAAGUCAGUAUGGCCCUUACGACCAGGGCUGCACACGUGCUACAAUGGGCGGCACAAUGGGACGCAAAGUCGCGAGACGGAGCAAAUCCACAAAACCGCUCUUAGUUCAGAUUGCAGUCUGCAACCCGACUGCAUGAAGCUGGAAUCGCUAGUAAAUGCGUAUCAGCUACGACGCAUUGAAUACGUUCCCGGGCCUUGCACACACCGCCCGUCA